UGCAGGUUGUCAGAGACCAGCUGGACGUCUCUGUUCUCAGCUCUGAAGUCCAACCCGAACCAUCUGACAGGACUGGGCCUGAGCGGAACCAACCUGGAAGGUUCUGGACUGAAGGAGCUCUGUGGUUUUCUACAGACUGAAAGCUGCAGACUGAAAACAUUGUUGUUGGAUAACUGCAGUUUGUCAAAGAUCAGCUGUGAUUUUCUGGCCUCAGCUCUGAAGUCCAACAGCCUCCAUCUGACAUAUCUGGACCUGA